rnacentral:lncRNA from 1 species
AAUCUAGAAGUGGAAUUGCUGAGCUGUAGAGUAUGUGAAUCUCUACAACUUUCAACUUUACCAUGUAUUGUCAAAUUGCUCUCCAAAGUGAUGGUACCAAUUAAUGAUACUACCAAUAAGGAUCUCAACAGGACAAACACAAAGAAAAUAUCAAGGUGCAUCAUAGACAAAUUAUUGAAAAUCAGCAAUAAGGAGAAAACCUUAAAAACAGCAAGAUAAAAAGAUGCAUUAUGUGUAAAAUUAAAAAAGAAAACAAUGAUUGCUGAAUUCUUAUCAUACCAAUGCACAAAAGACAACAGAACAAUAUCUUUAAUGUGUGAAAAGUAAAAAAAAAAAUGUCAAACUAAGUUUUACAUUCAGGAAAAAUAUUCUUUGAAAAUAGAAGACAAUGAGAUUUCUGAUUUGUGGUUAUCACUCCCAUUCUCAUAAUAAGAAAAAAUCUGAAAAAACUGGAAAUCCACAACUCUUCUUAAAAUUGAGGUAACAGGGCAAGCCACUACCUUGAAUAUUAGAGACAGGAAGAUACAAAGAAUUCAGCUUAAAGAAAGAAGGAAGCCUUGGAGGAGAAGCCUGGUGCUGGAGCCUGUACCACUUUCCACAACAUCAACUGUGCUACUGUAUAAUAACAGGGCAUUAUAGCCAAAGAACUGUAAGCCUCAGACCCUAUUUAAGGAAGAGUCUCCAGGGAAAUCUAAAAAUAACAGGGAAGACUAAAACAAGGACACCCAGAGAAAAUGCUAGCCUUUGAUAUGUACAGCUAUAGCAACUGGCAAACACAAUGUAACUCCUAGCCAGAUCAACAUUGAACCUCACACAAAAGGUCUAUUUACUUCAUUUCCUUCUAAUUGAUACAUCCUCUCAGGCUGUCAGCAAAAAACUAGAAGACGUGAAAAUGCAAAAACUCUGUCUGAAGAGAGAAAGCAUGCCUUAGACUCAGACUGGCAGAAAUUUUGAGUGAUCAAACCAGAUAUUUAAAAUAACUAUGAUUAAAAUGCUAGCAGAAUGGAAAAAGUAAACAACAUGCACAAAUGGAAGGCAAAACAAAGACAUUUUCAAAUAAGCAAAAGGUGAUAGAAUGUGUCAUCCACAGACCUGCACUAUAAAAAAUGGUAGAGGAAGUUCUUCAGUAUGAAAGUGAAUGAUACCAGAUGGAAACUGAGAUCUACAAAAUGAAACAUCACUGGAAAUAGUAAAUACAUGGAGAAAGGCUCAGUCUAGCAGCAGAGCAAACUGGACAUUUUCUCACCAUUUGUUUCACCAGAGAAAGGAAGGGACAGCAACUUGGAGUCUGGAGCUGACGCAGAGGAUGUUUCUUGAUAUCUUCAACUUGAACCUGUCUCACUUGACAGAUUUAUGCUGCCAGAGUGGUUCUUCUAGUAAGAAGCCCCUUGCCAUCAGACACUGCAUUUCACUUGGUGAUUUUCCAGACUCCUCAAAUCUUUUAUGGAAAGAGAGUUUCACCUGCCACCUGGAUCAUUUCCUAUUUUUCUGCAGCCACUUCAGGGCGGGGACCCAGUAUCACGAAGCUGCAAGCUUUGCUGCCAGUUUUCCAUCCAUCCCCCGGGGCUGAGAUGAGGUGAGAGGCCGCAAAUCCUAUCUAUGAAGAUAGGCACUUCCAUUCAUUCUGAAGUCCUCACAUAGUAGUUAUUCAGUGAAUGUACCCUGGGAUCCACUUUUCACCUUUCCCCUUACCUGCUUUGUGCUUCAAGAAACUGACUUCAACAGACAGCAUCAUCUGGGCUUCUUUACCCUGUAGUGUUCAGCUGAGUUCAGCCAAUGGAAGACACUAGUAGAAGACUGGAAGGAUAGAGGAGAGAAAGAUUGGAAUAUUUAUUCCCAUCUCAUACUACAGUUUUUGUAGUGAUGGUUCUUCCUAUUGGACAGCUUCCACCUAUAACUACAGUUCUCUCCUGGUUCCAGAAACUGCUUUCUCCACUUCUGACCUAGGAGUAGCCACAGCUCCCAGCUGUUGUUAGACCCCAGGUGUAUUUUGUCAUCUCUUGUUACUUCCCUUAACCCUGCCACAGCUCUGAAAAUAGUCCAGUAAUUAAAUACUUUUUGAGCUAUUUCUUUGAGUAUACCACCUGUUUGUUUCGUGCCUGGACCCUGAGUGAUACAGUAUAAUAAAUAAUGUUCAAUACAAUAUACAAUGUAAAAUACAAUAGAUAAUACAAUUCCUAAAAACAAAAAGGAAGAAAGGAAAUAAAGAAUAAAAAAAGAAACAAAGAAGGAAAACCGGAUUUCUACCACCAAAAUGAAAUUAUUAUUACAAUUAUAGUGUAUUUACUUUUAGCUUUUUAAAUGCAAUUUUUAUGUAGUCAUUACUGUGGUAUAUAUGUAUUUAUGCUUAUUAAGUAGUUAUUUUUAACAUUGCCU